GCAGCCAGCAACAGGCAGCAGCUAGCAGCCACCAGUAGGCGGGAGCAGCUAGCAGCCAGCAACUAGCAGCCACCAGCAGCCAGGAGCAGCUAGCAGCCAGCAACUAGCAGCCACCAGCAGGCAGCAACUGGCCGCCAGCCAUCGAUAGCAGCUAGGUAGUCGCCGGCUGCAGCAGCAGCUAGCCUCUGGCAGCAAACAAUCGCUAACCGCAGGUAGUCGCAAGCUGCAGGCAGCAGCAACAACUCGGGUAAAUAUAUGCUGAAUUCUUUCAGCUACUUUGUAAAAUUUAUGUCAUGCUUAAUUAAGAAUUCUAGCUUAAGCAAUAUUGGUUAUGUUUGAUUGCAAAAGUAUAUGUUAAAUUGGACUUUUGAAUCAAAAUUAGUUUGAGAAAAUUUUACUUUGGGUGAAAUCAUGUUGGUAACUAAAAUUAGAUAAUUGCAAGUAUUAGUAUUCUCGCAGAUUUAUGGUAUAUAUACAAAUUAGACACAAAUAUUAUAAGAUCUUGGGGAUUUUGUGAGUUGAUUGAUAUUCUUACAACAUCCAUGUCAGAUUUUGGAAUUAUAACAUUUGAGAAUUAGAUUUUGGGCUGAAAAUUGACAUACAUAUAUUUUUACAUAUACAAUUUUGAUAGCACAAUAAUAUACAAUUUUUAUGUCAUAUUUAUAUGAUAUUUGUCACGCUUUCUCCCUACAUUUAAUUUAUUGAGUAUCAUUUAAUUUAUAUUUCGAUUAUUGCUCUCCUCGGGUUCUUUUUCUUUGUUUUGUAGGAAUAAACUAUUAUGUGAGUCGAGUUACAUAUUGGAGAUGUUCUUAUGCGACAAAGAGAAGGAAAUUACACAAGGACAACCUACUCCACAGCCAAGGUGUGGCAUACGACCUUCUCCACAGCCUACCUGCGAAUAGCACACUAAAGAGAAGAAGAAGAGUGGCAAGGGCAGCCCACUCCACAGCCCGCCUAGUGGUGAUACUUAAUUCUAGAUGUUUUUAUUAUUUGAUUUUCUAGCUUUAGUAGUAUAAUAAUUUCAACCCUAUUUUGAUUGACUCGACUACUUAUAAUUCAUAGCAAUCACCAAUAUUGAUACUACCUUCUCUGCGGGAUCGACUCUAACUUACCCUACUACAUAUUAGGAGGAUUAGUUAGGCUUUUAUUAUUUUUGUUAUGUGUGCGACCGCCUAUCAAAUUUGUUUUAUAAACUUGGGUUUUUGUAAGAAGCAUUUCCAUGUUAUUGGGUUGAUGUAGAGAGGAUAUGAAGGUAGAUGCAGUUGUGUAGGUGAAAUAUUGUUCUUCACCCCACCUUUUUCUAGUCUUAUAUAACAAGCGAAAAAAGGAGUAUGAAUUAUUAAUCAUUUAAUAAUUGUUUAUUUCAAUUUCAAAAUUGUUAGAACUGUUAUUAAUUUUCACUUGUGUUUUUUUGCAGAAUUGUAGGGAUAAGUUUAUCAAAGAAACUCCUUAUGGGGAAGGAAAAUUACAUCCCAGAGUUGCUCCCUAUGCUCGCUUUUACAUUUGUUAACCUCACCUCGAGCUCCGCUGUAUAAUGUGCUCCCCUCUGAGAGUUCUUUGCUGGCUACUCACUACCAUCAUCAAAGUUUUUUCUAGGCAAUUGGGGGCAAGGGAUGUGAGGUCCUCUGUUGAUUUCGUUAUAUUUCUUGCUCAUUACACUUGUUACGUACAAUUACAACUUACAAGCUUGAUACUACAUCGUUUGAUCAGGGGAGUUAUUAUUUCUUUUAUUGCUGUUAUUGUGUAAGUGAGAUUGGUAAGUUUUCUGGAGUAUUUGGUUUGAAGGAACCAAGCUAUUUUCAGGAAUGUCGUGGUAAUCCCCCUUGGAAAUUAUCAAGCAAGCUGAUCAUUGGUGUGUGAGAUGGAAGGAAGCUAGAGCCAUAAGGAAAAGGCCUGUGUGCACCGCCGCUCAGUUUGACAGCUUACAAAACCAACUCUGUUGGGGAUCAGGUGUAUACCUGUAAAAUGGACAAAAACUGAUAGGUCAAAUUGCCUAUAGACAUUAUAGAAAGGAAAGUAGAAGAAGUUGUAAGAAGUCUACAAAGAAGGGUACUACGAAGAAAAAGUGAAAGUUUUAAGCUGCUAGCAAUGAAGAAUACUAGAAUUAGUCUUCUCUGUGAUCUCUUCUUUUUUUUUUUUUUUUUUAAAAAAAGAUAGUCAUGCUCUUAAGUAAUUGAUGUAAUAAUUACUGUCAUUUUAGUCGGUAUGCCUAUGAAUAAGAUAAUAAAUUACUCAUUUGUUGUAGUUUUGUGUAAUACUAUUAGUUCUAUAUUUUUGUUGGUCGAAGUGUUAAUUCAUUUCUGAAAGCUACAAAUAUCUCUAUAGUCUAGACUGAUUAUACUUCACUGCUAUGCUAAUUCAAGUUGCCGUGUGAA